CGGCAAGAGCUCAAAUUUGAAAUCUGGCUCCUCUCGGGGUCCGAGUUGUAAUUUGGAGAGGAUGCUUCGGGUAUGGCCCCCAUCUAAGUGCCCUGGAACGGGCUGUCAUAGAGGGUGAGAAUCCCGUCUGGGAUGGGUGGCUAGGCCCGUGUGAAGCUCCUUCGAC
rnacentral:rRNA from 1 species